ACAUCCAGCGAACUUGGCAGAGAUGCCUUGGUGCCGUUCGGGAACGCUGAGACAGGUGCUGCAUGGCUGUCGUCAGCUCGUGUUGUAGAAAUGUUGGGUUAAGUCCCGNAACGAGCGCAACCCUUAUCCUUUGUUGCCAGCGAUUCGGUCGGGAACUCAAAGGAGACUGCCGGUGAUAAACCGGAGGAAGGUGGGGAUGACGUCAAGUCAUCAUGGCCCUUACGAGUAGGGCUACACACGUGCUACAAUGGCGCAUACAAAGAGAAGCGACCUCGCGAGAGCAAGCGGACCUCAUAAAGUGCGUCGUAGUCCGGAUCGGAGUCUGCAACUCGACUCCGUGAAGUCGGAAUCGCUAGUAAUCGUGGAUCAGAAUGCCACGGUGAAUACGUUCCCGGGCCUUGUACACACCGCCCGUCACACCAUGGGAGUGGGUUGCAAAAGAAGUAGGUAGCUUAACCUUCGGGAGGGCGCUUACCACUUUGUGAUUCAUGACUGGGGUGAAGUCGUAACAAGGUAGGCGUAGCGAG
rnacentral:rRNA from 1 species